rnacentral:tRNA from 1 species
GGCGACGUAGCCAAGUGGUAAGGCAGAGGAUUGCAAAUCCUUUACCGCCGGUUCAAAUCCGGCCGGCGCCU